CCCGGGCGGCUCUCCCACUAGGGGUAGCUGUUGCCUGAACGCCGGAGCGCUCCCCUCUCGCCGCUUGCCUCGCCCAGCGCAGCCCCGGCCGCUGGGCGCACCCGUCCCGUUCGUCCCCGGACGUUGCUCUCUACCCCGGGAACGUCGAGACUGGAGCGCCCGAACUGAGCCACCUUCGCGGACCCCGAGAGCGGCGGCGCGACUCACCGCGGAGGCGCCCGGACGCGUCAAGCCCAGCCCAAUAGGAAGCACCUGAUCCACACUCUUUCUAGCCCCAGGGAUGCUCAGGAAAGCAGCCUUUCUUUAGGGCUGUCAUCUGUUCUGGGGAUCUGUUGCUGUUUCUUGGGCCCACAGAAUACACUCCACACCUCGGGACUCCAUAAUAUUGGACAAGGCUGGAAGGCCCAUUUGGCUCCUGCAGCCUCUUAUGCAGGAGGACCUCCUGAGGCUUCGGGCAGGAGCUGGUGCACACCUGGAGGAGAGUGCUGGUGAAUGGCAGGUGUGUGCCUCAGUGUCCUUGCUGCCAGGGUGUCAGCCCUGCUUCACCACUGGCCGUUUGUCUCUGUCCCCUCCACUGGCCUCUUGAAGCACAGAGACCCUCCGGGUACUUUCCUUCCUCUGGGCUUCCACUCAUGCUAUUCCCUGCUCCCUUUUUCUACCUGGAGACCCCCAUUCCUCCUCCUCCUCUGCUGCCCUCACCUCCACCUGGGCCCUCCCAGCUCCCGGGAGAUGGCUGAACCCCACUCCCCACCCGCUAGUCAUCCUCUUCAGCGGUCCUCCCAGAGCUGUCCUCAGCAUGGCAGCCUCCACAGCCCCUGGGUGUCACCCCCGGUUUCGUGUCUGCCUCGGACUCCAGACCUGCCCCUCCCAGGCUGGCCCAGAUGGAUCCUCUACAGUGACUAACCCAAACCAGCACCAGGCAGGGACCCAAUAAACCUUUGUGAAUGGAGUAAAUGA
rnacentral:lncRNA from 1 species